ensembl:snoRNA SNORA72 Small nucleolar RNA SNORA72
UUGUGAAUAUUCUCACUGUUUUGAUUUUAUAAUAGUAAGGACAAACUAAACAUUCACUAUAUUAAGACCAUGCAUGUGUCUUGGACCUACCUCUUUCCCUAGGUCUGUUUUUAUAAAUGCUGGUGAUAAAC